rnacentral:snRNA from 1 species
AUCGCUUCUCGGCCUUUUGGCUAAGAUCAAGUGUAGUAUCUGUUCUUAUCAGUUUAAUAAUCACCAACAUCACCUUACUCUGCACGGGGUUUCAGGGUGACAAACUGUUUUCAUGGAUAACAAUCCAUCUGUUACAUACAGAAGACUUC